CUUGAGCUGUGUGAUAGUGAUGCUUUAUGGUGAACUUCUGUUUGGAGGCUUUGUAAAGCUCCUCGAGUUAUAAAUUACUCUUAUGUGUCAGAAGGAUCUUUACCAUCUUUAUUAACAUGACUUUCUCUAAAAUUCCCGUAUGUGUUCAUAUUUCUGGACUGCCAGGAAGUGAAUAUUUUUACUACCCGUUAGGCUGGAAUUUCUUGAGUCAUAAGGGCUGUCCCAGAGAAGUUUUCCUGGGAGGACUUUAUAGGUGUCAUUCCCCCAUGUAAAUCGUAGUCUUUGUUCCUUAUGGGUUUGUCACACCUAAUUAAGUGGGAUUUUUGGCAUGGUCAAUAUCCAAGAAAAAGGACAGAUUCUUACUGAACCUAGGUAAAUAACCUACAUGGUCGUAAGUAUCAAUUCCCUCUAGAAUUCCCUGAUGUCAGUUAAUGUAAGUAUUAACCAUAAUGAAGUCAAUUCAUUUAGUCCUAAGUAACCAAUAUUUGUUUUUGCUGCUCUUGGGUUAGGUAGACUACAUCUGCAAAGUUUUAUGCUUUUAAAUUGCUUGCAUAUGCGACCACUCAGCUCUGCUGUUGUAGUGAUAACCCAAUGAGCACGAUUGUGCAGUUGUUUGUUGAUAUUUUUCUAUUAUUUCUUCCAGAAGACUCCUAAUCUUGAGCUUGUAGCAGCGGCCUUUAUUAGAUGCAGGGAAAAAGGAAAUAUCUUCUGUAAUUAUAAGAUUAAUUAUCAUCUGUACAAAUGAGAUUAAAUGGUUCUAGUUAAUCAACGAGAAUGGAGGAACUUGGGAGUCUUUUAUUAAGUGUUCACAUACGUUUGGUACAUUAACUAAAGUCAGAGGAUCAUGAAAACUGGUCUCUCUAGAGAAGCCACAUGAAGAUAAUGGACACGUGAUCGUACCGGUCCCUUCAGCUGACCUGUCAUCAGUUUCUUGAAGAAUCUGGCUAUUUUCUCUUUGCACCAAGCUCUGAACACGACAGCAGACAGUGGGAUGAGCAUAAGGAGUGCUCCACGGUGGUAAUUCCGCACUGGACCAGGGCCUGGCCUCGGAGCAGAUUAGGGCUUUUUAACCAGGGGACUGCAGGCUUCUUGACCCUUAGUGAGUUUAGCUCUCGGCCUGCUCAAGACAAAAUCAGAAAUGCGACGGUUCUGCGACCACUAUAGGACAUCGAAUCAGCACUUACAAAUGAGCCUCAAGAAAGCAUGGAGCUGAGAUGGCUUUCCUGGUGACAGCUACCAUUCAAGGACCAGAGAAGUCCUGGGACACAACUCAUCUGGAGAGUGGAAAGAGGGAAGCUCCCUAACUCGUUAAUGAGGCCAGCAAAACAUUGAUACCCUAAAUCGGUUUAUUAUUAGCCUGGCCGGUAGCGGUGAUGGCAAGGGCAUCCUAGCGUGUGAGAAAGAAAACACGCAGGCCCAUCUUGUUAUUAAUAUAUAACCACAAAAAUGUGAAACACAGUAUUGGCCAGAUCCGGCGAUGCACGGGAGAGAUAACCCAUCAGGGCCAUGUUGGAUUACUCCUAGGAAUGCAAGAUGAAUGUAACAGGGGGAAAACUGAUGAAUGUAAUUUGCUUUAUGAACAGAAUAAAAGCAAAAAUCUAUUGAAAAUGAAAGCUUCCUGAAAAAAUUCACAGCCCUUCUUAUGGAAACUCUCAGGAAAGCAAGAGUAGAAGCAAACUUCCUUAGUCUCAUAGAAGACGUUUGUGAAAAACCUAUGAUAAAUCGCAUACUUAACGGUGAGAUGUUGCAAACAUCCCCUUUCAGGCCAGGAACAAGACCUUCUCAAAGACCCUUCCACCGUGAUCCUUUCUCCCAUCUCCCCACUGCCAGGAUCACACUCCCUUCGCAAUUCUCCCAGAGCGCUUUGUCUACACCUCUAGAGGGAC